AGUCGAACGGCAGCACGGGAGCUUGCUCCUGGUGGCGAGUGGCGAACGGGUGAGUAAUAUAUCGGAACGUGCCCUAGAGUGGGGGAUAACUAGUCGAAAGAUUAGCUAAUACCGCAUACGAUCUAAGGAUGAAAGUGGGGGAUCGCAAGACCUCAUGCUCGUGGAGCGGCCGAUAUCUGAUUAGCUAGUUGGUGAGGUAAAGGCUCACCAAGGCGACGAUCAGUAGCUGGUCUGAGAGGACGACCAGCCACACUGGAACUGAGACACGGUCCAGACUCCUACGGGAGGCAGCAGUGGGGAAUUUUGGACAAUGGGGGCAACCCUGAUCCAGCAAUGCCGCGUGAGUGAAGAAGGCCUUCGGGUUGUAAAGCUCUUUUGUCAGGGAAGAAACGGUAGAGGCUAAUAUCCUUUGCUAAUGACGGUACCUGAAGAAUAAGCACCGGCUAACUACGUGCCAGCAGCCGCGGUAAUACGUAGGGUGCAAGCGUUAAUCGGAAUUACUGGGCGUAAAGCGUGCGCAGGCGGUUGUGCAAGACAGAUGUGAAAUCCCCGGGCUCAACCUGGGAAUUGCAUUUGUGACUGCACAGCUAGAGUGUGUCAGAGGGGGGUAGAAUUCCACGUGUAGCAGUGAAAUGCGUAGAUAUGUGGAGGAAUACCGAUGGCGAAGGCAGCCGCCUGGGAUAACACUGACGCUCAUGCACGAAAGCGUGGGGAGCAAACAGGAUUAGAUACCCUGGUAGUCCACGCCCUAAACGAUGUCUACUAGUUGUCGGGUCUUAAUUGACUUGGUAACGCAGCUACGCGUGAAGUAGACCGCCUGGGGAGUACGGUCGCAAGAUUAAAACUCACAGGAAUUGACGGGGACCCGCACAAGCGGUGAUGAUGUGGAUUAAUUCGAUGCACGCGAAAACCUUAUCUACCUUGACAUGGU
rnacentral:rRNA from 1 species